UGCACAACCUGAACCAGGGAAUUCAGCAGGGAUAUGAACCUCGGAGUACCGGAGCACCUGGAGAGGCGACCUUGCCUAGCUCCAGCGGACUGCUUAAUCUACAGGAGACUAGCCCUCCCAGCGUGUUGGGGUGAGGACCCCGUGUGCACCAGUGGAACCAGCCCCAGGAACCAGCUCAGAGAGCACCGCCCAUCCUACGGUUUCUUCUUACAAUGGGCCUUCUUACAAUGGGCCAUUCAAACGGACAAUUCCUUCUUACAAUGGGCCAUUCAAAGGGACCACCACAGACAUUGGAGUUACAAACCAGGAAGACCAAUCUGACUCCUGCUGCCUGUUCCCACUCUCAUCUGAGGAUGCUUCAAGCCUGACAUCUAAAAAUCUCACUGGCAGCACUGGUAGACACUAGGUUUGUAAUUUGCUCUAACCAUUAACCUCUAUUUUUCUUGAUUCCAUAAAAGUACAUCUUAUUAAUUACCUGAUUGCUUACUGAACAAAACAGAGUCUAUGUGAUGGCUAUACACCACCUGUUACACAGUUAAGGCCUUAAAUGACUCUAAAAAUAACAUUAUAUUGUUAAAUACUAAAAUAACUCAAAUGCAUAAAACAGUCCUACAAAAUAGACUGGCAUUAGAUGUUUUAACUGAUGCACAGGGUGGAACUUAAGCUCUCAUAAAAACAAACUGCUGUGUAUCCAUUCCAGAUUACCACAAAAAUAUUUCUGGAUUUCUAACUGACAUGAAUACUCAAAUUGGCGCUUUAAACAAUCUCUCUCUUUCCUUUAAUGAUUCGUUAAACUCCCGGACUGGAGGAUUUUUGUCAGCUACCAAAGGACUUCCAUUUGGGCUAAUCUUUCUAGUUAUUCUAAUUAUGUUUUGCUGUUUUCUCCCAUGUCUCUCUGCCUGGUACCAAACCUCCAUGACUGCAAUAACUUCAAGCCAACAGAUGAUCCUUUCUACUCAAGGAGGUUCAUACAUGUUGCCCAAUUGGAUUCAGCUGCCUCUGUCUUUUGUAACUCCCCUAUAUGUUCCCUGACUGACCAAUAUUGACCGAUAUACGUAGGGACAACUCUAUGUCCCUACUCAGCAGGAAGAUGCUACAGAAGAUGAGACCUUCCACCUUCAGCAACCUUAAAGAUUUAACGGUCAAAAUUGUUCAGGGAGGAUAUGAUGAGGGAGCAUAAGGCAGGCUGAGGGCAAAAUACAGGCUGGCACCACCAACCACCCCCCCCCCACCCCCAGGUAGAAUAUGUGUGAUAUCCCUCGGACACUCCUGGC